rnacentral:rRNA from 1 species
UAAGGAAUAUUGCUCAAUGGGAGAAAUCCUGAAGCAGCAACGCCGCGUGGAGGAUGAAGGGUCUAUGACUUGUAAACUCCUGUAAAGAAGGAAAAAAUUCCCAUUUGAUGGGAGAUGAUGGUACUUCUGGAGUAAGCCCCGGCUAACUACGUGCCAGCAGCCGCGGUAAUACGUAGGGGGCAAGCGUUGUCCGGAUUUACUGGGUGUAAAGGGUGCUCAGGCGGAUUUGUAAGUCAGAUGUGUAAACCCCAGGCUCAACCUGGAGAUUGCAUCUGAUACUGGUAGUCUUGAGUGCAGGAGAGGACAGUGGAAUUCCUAGUGUAGCGGUGAAAUGCGUAGAUAUUAGGAGGAACACCAGUGGCGAAGGCGGCUGUCUGGACUGUAACUGACGCUGAGGCGCGAAAGCGUGGGGAGCAAACA